rnacentral:rRNA from 1 species
UACGUAGGGGGCGAGCGUUGUCCGGACUUAUUGGGCGUAAAGAGCUCGUAGGCGGUUCGAUAAGUCGGACGUGAAAUCUCCACGCUCAACGUGGAGGGGCCGUUCGAUACUGUCGUGACUCGAGUCCGGUGGGGGAGUGUGGAAUUCCCGGUGUAGCGGUGAAAUGCGCAGAGAUCGGGAGGAACACCCGUAGCGAAGGCGGCACUCUGGGCCGGUACUGACGCUGAGGAGCGAAAGCGUGGGGAGCAAACAGG